rnacentral:rRNA from 1 species
AUGUCGUCGCUGGUCUCUCCCCUCCACGGAGUAGUGGACGCCCGCCGGUGGAACACCGAGCGCCUCCUGGGUCGCCUAGUGAUCAUGGUCCACGCCGCCUUCCUCGACGCGGGUUUCAUGGUGCCUCGCCGCAACCGCCGGGAUCGGGAUCUGUCUUCUACCUGCCGGCUUCCGACAGAGGUGGGCGCGACGGCCUCGAUCCUGUCCCUGGAGUACACCGCGCCGCAGCUGCUGCCCCGGCACGACAUGGACACCGCCGUGCUGAGGGUGUGCACCAACGGGCGGCACGUCAUCUUCUACCUGCAGAUCUCCUCUGUCCGGGUCAGCCCGCACUUGGUGUGCCUGGACGCGCUCUCCGUCGCGCCGCUCCUCUCGGGCCAUCUGAACGGCACAGCGCGCAGGCUGCUGCGGAACGACGGCUCUCCGACGGCCGCGCUCUGGAGGACGGUCAGCGACGGGUUCAGCCGGCGCAUCUUCUCGGAUCUAUGCCUUGUGCACGGCGUGGUGCCGGGACGAGCCCCCACCUUCAUGUCCCUCCCGAGCGACAUCAUGGCGGCGAUCCUGGAGAGGCUUGCCGACGGGAAGGAUCUCCUGAGGGUGGAGAGCACCUGCACCGAGUUGAGGCGCUUGGUGUCCGAGCCCGACCGGGACCGCCAGCUCUGGAUGCCCAGGUACAAGGCGCUACGGUUGAACUGGCUGUGGUGGUGGUGCUGGUCGCUCGGCGGCGACAGCAAUUCCCACGACGACCUGCCGGAGACGAGCUGGAAGCAGAUGUUUGUGAGGGCCACGCGACGGUGGGAAGAUAGGCUUCUAUAUCGUUCUACUCCUAUCCUCGUCAUACGGCGGUUUUCUAUCCUCGAUGAGUUGAAAUGGUUAAGAUACUCAUUUGAGGAGCUGCCGGUGGAUGCCGCCGCCUGCUUUGGAGAGAUGAUGACGGAGACGGAGGGCGACGGGGGCAAGAGUACCACCGGUCGCCGCCAUGGCCGUGGUAAGGCGCUGGCGAUAGGCGGCCACGAGAAGCAGAGGCAGCAGGGUCGUCGCACCCGCACCGGCACCGGCGCUAUCCACUCCCCGUCUUCUAGGUACCGAUGGAAGCACAGGUGA